UGAAAAUGGAGUGGGGGAGAAAAGAGCUGGAGAGCAAGGAGGCAUUAGUAAAAUGGGCACGAAGAACUGGCUGCAGAGUGAAAGCGAAUUCUGCAAUCCAUCCUUGGAGAGAAAGGUCCACAUGCCCUGAGAAUGAACAACAUUAGCCUGGACAUCCCAAGGGACAAGGUUGAACUAAGCCAACAGAAGACAUCAGCAGGAGAGAGCUAAAAUAAAGACCACUGCAGGGAGGUGUGUAUUCUAGCCCUUGCCUCCCUGGAGGAUGUCAUCUCUGAGUCCAAGUCCUCUUACAUUAUUUCUUGAAUCACAAAUACCAAUGAGACCUCUGUGUCUCUGGCUAACUCUGGAACUGGCGUGGUGGCAAGGGAGGUUCUGAGGAGUGGUCACUGGAACCCAAAGAAGUUGGCAAGGCAAUAUUUCCAUGCGAUAGGGGAAGUGAAGUCACUUGAGCAUUUUCCUCCUUUUCAUCCAUGCAAAUCUAUGCUUUCCAGAACAGCCCAUGAGGAGGUUCUCCUACAUUCUGAGAGCCCUUGAUGGGCCAGGACUCCCUCUGUUCUCCAGAAAAUUCUAGGUUUGGGGCCAUGACAGGUGUUACUGGAGGAGAAAAUAACUGCAGGUUCCCCACCUGAGACUUAGCUCCUGGGGCUAAAUAAAGAGAAGUCUUUCUAGUGGUCACAAAUUCUAGGGUCAUCUUGAGGUCUCACUUCUCUCUCAUUAAAGCCCUCUUCAGGCAUUACUUUUUGUAUCCAUGGAGGGGCAGCGGGGCCACUGUUAUAACCCUGGAGUCUAGUAGGAACCCAGACACUAAGGUGGAGGCUACAGUGUCACCAGCUGAAGAGCUGGAUAAGCUUCCCAGUUCUAGA